rnacentral:rRNA from 1 species
CCUACGGGCGGCAGCAGUGAGGAAUAUUGGUCAAUGGACGCGAGCCUGAACCAGCCAAGUAGCGUGAAGGAUGACUGCCCUACGGGUUGUAAACUUCUUUUAUAAAGGAAUAAAGUGCGGCACUUGUGCCUUUUUGUAUGUACUUUAUGAAUAAGGAUCGGCUAACUCCGUGCCAGCAGCCGCGGUAAUACGGAGGAUCCGAGCGUUAUACGGAUUUAUUGGGUUUAAAGGGAGCGUAGAUGGGUUGUUAAGUCAGUUGUGAAAGUUUGCGGCUCAACCGUAAAAUUGCAAUUGAUACUGGCAGUCUUGAGUACAGGUGAGGUAGGCGGAAUUCGUGGUGUAGCGGUGAAAUGCGUAGAUAUCACGAAGAACUCCGAUUGCGAAGGCAGCUUACUAAACUGCCACUGACAUUGAUGCUCGAAAGUGUGGGGAGCAAACAGGAGUAGAUACCCCGGUAGUC